AUCUCGUCUGACGAGUCCCAAAUAGGACGAAAUGCACAUCCUGGAU
rnacentral:hammerhead_ribozyme from 1 species